rnacentral:rRNA from 1 species
GACGAACGCUGGCGGCGUGCUUAACACAUGCAAGUCGAGCGGUAAGGCCCUUUCGGGGGUACACGAGCGGCGAACGGGUGAGUAACACGUGGGUGACCUGCCCUCAGCUCUGGGAUAAGCCCGGGAAACUGGGUCUAAUACCGGAUAUGACUCCAUGACGCAUGUUGUGGGGUGGAAAGCCUUGUGCGGCUGAGGAUGGGCCCGCGGCCUAUCAGCUUGUUGGUGGGGUGAUGGCCUACCAAGGCGACGACGGUAGCCGGCCUGAGAGGGCGACCGGCCACACUGGGACUGAGAUACGGCCCAGACUCCUACGGGAGGCAGCAGUGGGGAAUCUUGCGCAAUGGGCGAAAGCCUGACGCAGCGACGCCGCGUGAGGGAUGACGGCCU